GACGAACGCUGGCGGCGUGCCUAAUACAUGCAAGUCGAGCGGACCAAAGGGAGCUUGCUCCUGGAGGUUAGCGGCGAACGGGUGAGUAACACGUGGGCAACCUGCCUGUAAGACUGGGAUAACAUCGAGAAAUCGGUGCUAAUACCGGAUAAUAAAAAGAACUGCAUGGUUCUUUUUUGAAAGAUGGUUUCGGCUAUCACUUACAGAUGGGCCCGCGGCGCAUUAGCUAGUUGGUGAGGUAACGGCUCACCAAGGCGACGAUGCGUAGCCGACCUGAGAGGGUGAUCGGCCACACUGGGACUGAGACACGGCCCAGACUCCUACGGGAGGCAGCAGUAGGGAAUCUUCCGCAAUGGACGAAAGUCUGACGGAGCAACGCCGCGUGAGUGAUGAAGGUUUUCGGAUCGUAAAACUCUGUUGUUAGGGAAGAACAAGUGCCGUUCGAAAGGGCGGCACCUUGACGGUACCUAACGAGAAAGCCACGGCUAACUACGUGCCAGCAGCCGCGG
rnacentral:rRNA from 1 species